AGCAAGGUCAGCUAAAUAAGCUUUUGGGCCCAUACCCCAAACAUGUUGGUUAAAUUCCUUCCCUUGCUA
rnacentral:tRNA from 1 species